AGCUUGCCUGGGCCUUACGCGAUGCGUGCAUGACAAGACUGGUCUCCAAGCGAAGGGUAGACCCUCAGAGAAGCCGAAGGGAGACUCUCCAGCGCUGCCAUCUACACUCAUUGAAAGUCCUCACUCCCCACCCCGCUCCCUUCAUGGCAUCCGCACACACUUAUGUCGCUUCGCUUCCCGCAUUAAGAUCCCCGCAGCUUUAUUUGUGCGGAAAGUCAAUAUCUGGAUGUGAGAAUUCGCCAUUUUGCGCAGGGAACGGGGUGGGGAGCGCAUGGGAGAAGACAGCUCUGACGCAGGAAGGCUGCAGAGCCUGCUGACCGCCAGUUUCCUGUGUCCUGCUAGGAUCUUCCGGAUCCAUCUCGGCCGUGAAACAAGGCACACUAUAAAAGCUGGCCAGUAUGGGUCCCUCUGUUGGCUGGGAGAUUCCUGCGCCCCUCGAGGCCACUCGACUACGGCGCCUGGUUUAAGAGGCCCAAAGGACCCUUUCCUGGAAAUAUUCUCCAGGGAACGUUAGAGGGAUUUACUCCUGAGUAAGGGCUGUACUGUAAACCUGCAAUCCUGCCCCCCCCCUUUCUUGGGAACAAGUCCCCCACUCAGCUCCGUGGAACUUCGUUCCAAAGAAACAGCUAGUGUGGGAUUGCGCUGCCCCUGACCUCUGCACAGUUUUCAACUUGUUUGGGUUUCCUGGCUGAUGUGUCGGCAAAUCCACGAUUUCAGUGGCCAGCUGCCGCCGUCUGGUUGAGAGGAGACCGCCGCGCUCUGAAAGCACCUGGCUUUAAAAUGGGAAUCAUCUCGCACUUGGUCCCCUGAAGUGAGUAAGGACAUAAAGGAAAGCGAGUACAGAUCAGUUGAGAACUCUCAGGGAUCCAUCCAGGCACUGGUGAAAUCCUCCCUCCCAUGCACACGAAUCUGAGCAUCCGUGAAAAGUUCUGACAGACACAACGUUUUCCUCUGGUCCAGUGAAGAUGGGUGUCUCCGAAAACAACCCCAGAGAGGACAGCAUUUCUUUUCUGAACCCACAAAGUGACUGUAAGUCCCACCAUUUCAAAUGAACAGAGGUUACUUCUAUGUAAGUCAAAGGCAAUCUUGGAGUGGGGGAGACAGAACAUAAUCGGAAUUAAGGGUGGGUUUUGUAAUUAUUUUUAAUGGGCCUUUCCUUGUCAUAAAGGUAUUUCUGUCUCCCCCUCUCUCUCGUUCGGUGGAUCUCCCUGUUGUCCCUUUAAUCUGUUGACACUCCCCACCGCCACCCUAGAUAAACAGGCUGCCAUCGAUCUUUUCAUUAGGUGAUCAAAUAACAAACAGAGCAGGUGAAAGACAACAGCAUUAGCACGCUGACACUCGUCUGCAAUCCCUCUUUAGGGGAUGAAAAGUCCUGGCAUAAACACUCAGCCCCACUGAAUGGAUCUGUUCACCUCUUCCUUAAGCCUACCUAGGCAAUAGGAGGACUAUGGGAUUCAGCUCUGGAUCUGGACAAGUCGAUCCCUGCUCAUUCCCAUCUGAGGUUGUUCCCGGAGGCAGCUGGUCCCAUGAUCUUAAGGACUGGGGAUGGGGGGUUCCACAACAUUGUUCAAGCAAAAAUUAUUAUUUUUUGCUACCUCUGCUUCUGCUUCCUAACUUCUUACAUCUCUCUCUCUCCCUCUUCUCCGCCCCCCCUCCGCCC